GAUGAACGCUGGCGGCGUGCCUAAUACAUGCAAGUCGAGCGAACGGACGAGAAGCUUGCUUCUCUGAUGUUAGCGGCGGACGGGUGAGUAACACGUGGAUAACCUACCUAUAAGACUGGGAUAACUUCGGGAAACCGGAGCUAAUACCGGAUAAUAUUUUGAACCGCAUGGUUCAAAAGUGAAAGACGGUCUUGCUGUCACUUAUAGAUGGAUCCGCGCUGCAUUAGCUAGUUGGUAAGGUAACGGCUUACCAAGGCAACGAUGCAUAGCCGACCUGAGAGGGUGAUCGGCCACACUGGAACUGAGACACGGUCCAGACUCCUACGGGAGGCAGCAGUAGGGAAUCUUCCGCAAUGGGCGAAAGCCUGACGGAGCAACGCCGCGUGAGUGAUGAAGGUCUUCGGAUCGUAAAACUCUGUUAUUAGGGAAGAACAUAUGUGUAAGUAACUGUGCACAUCUUGACGGUACCUAAUCAGAAAGCCACGGCUAACUACGUGCCAGCAGCCGCGGUAAUACGUAGGUGGCAAGCGUUAUCCGGAAUUAUUGGGCGUAAAGCGCGCGUAGGCGGUUUUUUAAGUCUGAUGUGAAAGCCCACGGCUCAACCGUGGAGGGUCAUUGGAAACUGGAAAACUUGAGUGCAGAAGAGGAAAGUGGAAUUCCAUGUGUAGCGGUGAAAUGCGCAGAGAUAUGGAGGAACACCAGUGGCGAAGGCGACUUUCUGGUCUGUAACUGACGCUGAUGUGCGAAAGCGUGGGGAUCAAACAGGAUUAGAUACCCUGGUAGUCCACGCCGUAAACGAUGAGUGCUAAGUGUUAGGGGGUUUCCGCCCCUUAGUGCUGCAGCUAACGCAUUAAGCACUCCGCCUGGGGAGUACGACCGCAAGGUUGAAACUCAAAGGAAUUGACGGGGACCCGCACAAGCGGUGGAGCAUGUGGUUUAAUUCGAAGCAACGCGAAGAACCUUACCAAAUCUUGACAUCCUUUGACAACUCUAGAGAUAGAGCUUUCCCCUUCGGGGGACAAAGUGACAGGUGGUGCAUGGUUGUCGUCAGCUCGUGUCGUGAGAUGUUGGGUUAAGUCCCGCAACGAGCGCAACCCUUAAGCUUAGUUGCCAUCAUUAGGUUGGGCACUCUAAGUUGACUGCCGGUGACAAACCGGAGGAAGGUGGGGAUGACGUCAAAUCAUCAUGCCCCUUAUGAUUUGGGCUACACACGUGCUACAAUGGACAAUACAAAGGGCAGCGAAACCGCGAGGUCAAGCAAAUCCCAUAAAGUUGUUCUCAGUUCGGAUUGUAGUCUGCAACUCGACUACAUGAAGCUGGAAUCGCUAGUAAUCGUAGAUCAGCAUGCUACGGUGAAUACGCUCCCGGGUCU
rnacentral:rRNA from 1 species